CAGUCGCCACGGGAAAACAGAGGGUGCAAGCGUUAAUCGGAUUUACUGGGCGUAAAGGGCGCGUAGGUGGUUAUUUAAGUGAGAUGUGAAAGCCCCGGGCUUAACCUGGGAACUGCAUCUUAUACUGGGUAACUGGAGUGCAGUAGAGGGUAGUGGAAUUUCCGGUGUAGCGGUGAAAUGCGUAGAUAUCGGAAGGAACACCAGUGGCGAAGGCGGCUACCUGGACUGAGACUGACACUGAGGCGCGAGAGCGUGGGGGGCAAACAGGAUUAGAGACCCGUGUAGUCCCUGUCUCUUAUAC
rnacentral:rRNA from 1 species